rnacentral:rRNA from 1 species
CGCUAUCACUCCUACGGGAGGCAGCAGUGGGGAAUAUUGCACAAUGGGGGAAACCCUGAUGCAGCCAUGCCGCGUGUGUGAAGAAGGCCUUCGGGUUGUAAAGCACUUUCAGUAGGGAGGAAGGUAGUGUAGUUAACACCUGCAUUAUUUGACGUUACCUACAGAAGAAGCACCGGCUAACUCCCGUGCCAGCAGCCGCGGUAAUACGGAGGGUGCGAGCGUUAAUCGGAAUUACUGGGCGUAAAGCGCAUGCAGGCGGCCUGUUAAGUCAGAUGUGAAAGCCCGGGGCUUAACCUCGGAAUUGCAUUUGAAACUGGCAGGCUAGAGUCUUGUAGAGGGGGUAGAAUUUCAGGUGUAGCGGUGAAAAUGCGUAGAGAUCUGAAGGAAUACCAGUGGCGAAGGCGGCCCCCUGGACAAAGACUGACGCUCAGAUGCGAAAGCGUGGGGAGCAAACAGGAUUAGAUACCCUGGUAG